rnacentral:rRNA from 1 species
UACGGAGGGGGCUAGCGUUGUUCGGAAUUACUGGGCGUAAAGCGCACGUAGGCGGACUGUUAAGUCGGGGGUGAAAUCCUGGGGCUCAACCUCAGAAUUGCCUCCGAUACUGGCAGUCUCGAGUGCGGGAGAGGUGAGUGGAAGUUACCCAGUGUAGAGGUGAAAUUCGUAGAUAUUGGGAAGAACACCAGUGGCGAAAGGCGGCUCACUGGCCCGUAACUGACG